rnacentral:tRNA from 2 species
GGAUAUGGCGAAAUUGGUAGACGCUACGGACUUAAUUUAUAGUAAGAGGAAAAUCCGUCGACUUUAGAAAUCGUGAGGGUUCAAGUCCCUCU